UGCCAAGAUGCAAGUAGGUUU
rnacentral:piRNA from 1 species